CUCAUGCAUAUAUAGUUGGAACAAAGUUCCAAUUCAUGCACUAACCACUAGUUAAUCGUCAAUGACAGAGCGAGAGGCAGCAAUAAUCUUCUCUGAUGAUUGGCUUCCAGAUUCAACAACUUAAUUAUAUCAAUGUUUUUUUUGGGUGCAAUUUGAUUUAUAUAUAUACUAGUUAUUUAGCAUCUCAAGACAUUCUUAUCAUAUUUAAGUUGAUAACUUGAUAUUGUAAUCAGAAUCAUCAAAUAUUGACAUUGUACGAUGCAUGCAUUUCAUUAGAUCCACACUGUCUGAUCCGCUUCUUCCAUUUGG